UACGUAGGGGGCGAGCGUUGUCCGGAAUUACUGGGCGUAAAGGGCGUGUAGGCGGUUGGAUAAGUCUGGUGUGAAAUUCUACGGCUUAACUGUGGAGCUGCGCCGGAAACUGUCUGACUGGAGUUCGGUAGGGGUGACUGGAAUCCCUGGUGUAACGGUGAAAUGUGUAGAUAUCAGGGGGAACACCUGUGGCGAAGGCGGGUCACUGGGCCGCAACUGACGCUGAUACGCGAAAGCGUGGGGAG
rnacentral:rRNA from 1 species